AUUGAACGCUGGCGGCAUGCUUUACACAUGCAAGUCGAACGGCCGCGCGGGCUUCGGCCUGGCGGCGAGUGGCGAACGGGUGAGUAAUACACCGGAACGUGCCCAGUAGUGGGGGAUAGCUCGGCGAAAGCCGGACUAAUCCCGCAUACGACCUGAGGGUGAAAGCGGGGGAUCUUCGGACCUCGCGCUAUUGGAGCGGCCGAUGGCAGAUUAGCUAGUUGGUGGGGUAAAGGCCUACCAAGGCGACGAUCUGUAGCUGGUCUGAGAGGACGACCAGCCACACUGGGACUGAGACACGGCCCAGACUCCUACGGGAGGCAGCAGUGGGGAAUUUUGGGCAAUGGGCGAAAGCCUGAUCCAGCAAUGCCGCGUGUGUGAUGAAGGCCUUCGGGUUGUAAAGCACUUUUGGCGGGAAAGAAAAGGACUGUGCCAAUACCACGGUUCGAUGACGGUACCCGCAGAAUAAGCACCGGCUAACUACGUG
rnacentral:rRNA from 1 species